AUUUCUUUAAUGAAUGUGAAUUGUAAUGUAAAAACCUUUAGUAAUUAGUGAUUGCUAUCUCUGAUUUUAUUGAUUAAGAAAUCUUGAUAGACUUGACUCUCACGGGUCUAGCAUUAAUUAUUGAAGUGUAAUUAUUAAUCUACUAUUAACCCAUUGAACCGAUUAACUAUUAUGUAGUUAUUCAUUCUUUUUAUUGUGAACUGAAUUGUUUCUUACUCGAAUGCUAACACAUUUGAGAAGGAAUUAUAUUUACGAAACAUAAAUUAUGAACAACUCUUAGCAACGGAUAUCUUGGUUCUCGUAACGAUGAAGAACGCAGCGAAAUGCGAUACGUAAUGCGAAUUGCAGAAUUCAGUGAAUCAUCAAAUCUUUGAACGCAAAUUGCGCUUCUUGGAUAGGCCAGGAAGCAUGCCUCUUUGAGUAUCGUUUUCACCCCAGCUCGACUGCUUUAUUUUUUGUGUAACAACGAAAGUAAGGUUUUUGUCGGAGAAUGAGUUGUCUUGUCCGAAAGGAGAAGUCACUUUAAAUGCUAUGAGUUUUGAUUACGUGCUCUCGUCAAACAGAGCUAUGAUUGGUAUACAACUAAUCGCUGUCGUAAUGUGGAUAAACUUUAUUUACAUUAUUAUGCAGUUUGAUUGGUAAUAUUAAUUGAAUGUAAUCGCUUUUAUGACUCAGUGUGAAAUUAAUCUAAUACAAUUAUUUUGUAUAAACUUUUUGAAUUAGAUCUCAAAUGAAGCAAGACUACCCGCUGAACUUAAGCAUAUUAUUAAGCGGAGGAAAAGAACUAACAAGGAUGCCCUC
rnacentral:rRNA from 1 species